AGCGGAGGAAAAGAAACUAACAAGGAUUCCCCUAGUAACUGCGAGUGAAGCGGGAAAAGCUCAAAUUUAAAAUCUGGCGGUCUUUGGCCGUCCGAGUUGUAAUCUAGAGAAGUGUUACCCGCGUCGGACCGUGUACAAGUCUCCUGGAAUGGAGCGUCAUAGAGGGUGAGAAUCCCGUCUUUGACACGGACUACCGAGGCUUUGUGGUGCGCUCUCAAAGAGUCGAGUUGUUUGGGAAUGCAGCUCAAAAUGGGUGGUAAAUUCCAUCUAAAGCUAAAUAUUGGCGAGAGACCGAUAGCGAACAAGUACCGUGAGGGAAAGAUGAAAAGAACUUUGGAAAGAGAGUUAAACAGUACGUGAAAUUGCUGAAAGGGAAACGCUUGAAGUCAGUCGCGUCGUCCGGGAAUCAGCCUUCCUUCUGGUUGGUGUACUUCCUGGUCGACGGGCCAGCAUCAGUUUUGACCGGUGGAAAAAGUUCGAGGGAAUGUGGCACCUCCGGGUGUGUUAUAGCCCUCGUUCGUAUACAUCGGUUGGGACUGAGGAACUCAGCACGCCGCAAGGCCGGGAUUCGUCCACGUUCGUGCUUAGGAUGCUGGCAUAAUGGCUUUAAUCGACCCGUCUUGA
rnacentral:rRNA from 1 species